rnacentral:rRNA from 1 species
UACGUAGGGGGCAAGCGUUGUCCGGAAUUACUGGGCGUAAAGAGCUCGUAGGUGGUUUGUCGCGUUGUCCGUGAAAACUCACAGCUUAACUGUGGGCGUGCGGGCGAUACGGGCAGACUGGAGUACUGCAGGGGAGACUGGAAUUCCUGGUGUAGCGGUGGAAUGCGCAGAUAUCAGGAAGAACACCCGUGGCGAAGGCGGUUCUCUGGGACGGUACUGACGCUGAGACGCGAAAGCGUGGGGAGCGAACAGG